UGUGGCCGGAGAUCACAUGUCUUCCUCUUGGGUUACUCUGUAAUUUGUUCCCGAGGAUCAGAUCUGUCCCAGGAAGUACUUAGAACUACAUUCUGAGUUCCAGGAGAGAGUGUUAAAACUAUGGACUUGUCAGGGCUAUGAGCAGCAACCCUCACUCCAAGGCUGCAAUCCUUCCCACGAGCUGGUCUUACAGCUGAUGUACUGCAGGACACACACAGGCUGGCAGGUCUGCUGCCAGGGAGGUGUCCCCUCACCUCUGUCCCACACCUCUUGGGAACCCUAUAGACUGAGCACAGUGCUGGAGGAGAGAAGGUCCCCGGAUUAUGACCCGCUCCCAGAGUUGGACCAGGAUCUCCGAGCAUCCUCUGGGGCAGAUUCCAGGCCAGCCCCAGAGACUGUUACAUGCCUGGACAGAUGGUGUCCGUCUGUAGGCUCCUGAUCCAGGGCCUGGAGUGACAGCUUGGCAGUCCUAUUUUCUCCAGGGAUAGUUGAGGCUGGGAACCCUGGACAUUAUUGUCCCUGAGCCAGGCGUGCUCACAUUGUGACCAUUCACAAAGCAGCCACUUGAUGGCGCUGUGGCUCCACCAUGCGCCUGCUUUCACCUUCCGCCCCCAAGCUGGGCUGCAGUGGUCACCCAGGCGCCUGACUGUGCCCUUGCUGCUGGUGGGGUGCAGAGCCGGACGGACGCCUGCCCGCCUGCCCGUUCUGCUUGAGCACAAAUGCAGUUCUCAGAGCUCGUUUCCCCGGGGGUGAAGGGAGUUUGGGACCUUGGUACCGUGUUCUGUGCUAUGUCCCUGCAGUUUUCCCCCAGCAGCUCCUGAGAUGCCCCGUAUGCUAAGAGCAGUUUACCGUGGCAUCUGCACCCAGCCUGGUGAUCAGUCUCUUUGAGGGAGAAAUGGUGGGCUAGUCUGGACUCUUGUCAGGGAGAGAAAGCUGGCUAAACACGGAAUGUAGGGGGAAGAAGAGGAAGAGGAAGAGGAGGAGGGAGGAGAGACUGGAAACUUCCCAGAUGAGCUUCCUCCGCAGUCACGGUCCCUCUGCCUAAAACACUGCAAAGUGCACCUUGGAAACAAAAGGCCUCUGUGAGCCUGUCCUAGAAGCAGCUCGCAUUCUCUUGAGGUUUAUGCUGGUUGCACAAAUGCCUGCUCCUUCCACUCCUGCACAGGGUCACCUCAUCCGUUCAAUUUACUGUCCCUGCUGUUCGGCUCACUGCAGAGCGAAGGUUCUUACUCCUGAGCUGGUAAAACCAGUGGUUUCUGCGGACCUGGAACAAGGACAAGAGAAAGCUCUCUUGCAGAUAUGUCUUCAAGCAUCUUCUGCCCCGGGUGUCCCCAUCACUCCACUCAUCACUUUGGGCCUCAUGGUGGCUGCUCUAUCCUGCCAAGAAGACAUGUCACCCAGACAUUUUCACAUUGAGCCUCUGGAACCCAACUCCUCAGGGCGCUACUAUCAGCUAUGGAUACCCUGGCUUCUGGCUUGAUCAUGAGACACAACUCCUUGCCUGCCAUGACCUGUGUGGAUGAUACUUACCUGACUGGCUUAGUUUAGAUCUGAGCAUCUCUCCCCACAAGGCCUAGACGGAGGCUGACCAAGGGCUGUUCCUGCUCACCCAUGCUACUCACCAGCAGCUCCCUGGAACCGUGGAAACUAUGUCCCUGGCCCUCCUUUUAGGACUUGGCUGAGAUCAGGCUACUUCUUGGGAGGCAAGAGGCCUGGAUUCAACUGAGGAACAUUAUUGUGGAAAAUAGAGAAACUUCUAGACUGUGAAGAUAUUUGAGAAGCAAUGAUCUGUGUUGACUUGAGUGAACAAAGACAUACAUCUCUGGAUGUUCCCCACAGCUGGGGAAGGCUCACUAUCCCAACUCAUCUACAGUCUCGUAGAAGACAAGUCCCUGAUGCCACUACCCGGGAUACUCUUCUCCACCCCGCCCUUGUCCCAGGCACCACACCCUUCCCUGCCUGACCCUACCUCGCCUUUGGACCCAGAAAUUCUUCUUAUUUGCUCUAUUAUCUUCGAGCCGGAUGCAGAGUGAAUAGUUAACUAUGCUUGAGUUGAAUGGGAUCUAGAUUUUGUUGUUGUUUUUUCUGUCCCUUGUAAAGGGGUCAUUCUCUGUGCAUGGCAUGCAGCCCGGCAAAGGUAUGUGACUCCAGAGUGACACGAGCGUCAUCAUGAAGGUUCCGUGGGCUCUUGGAGGUCAGGGCAAGUGGAGAUGACUGAGCAGGGGAGUUGAAUAUGGCUGGUGCUUGCUGUGGUCUUGCACGGGUUGGAUUCCAUGCAGGUGUACAUUUGGACUGGUAGAGGUGAAGCCGUCUUCCGUGACACGAAAGGGAUGCGCUAAAAGACCUUCUUCAAAGGUGGCAGUUGGCAGUCAGUUUACCCAGGUGCUGUGUAACUGAGCCGCCAGCUCCGUUAGUUGUGCCUUCUGAGGACAUCCUCCCCCUGGCAUGUGCUGCCGGAAGCUGGAGCCUUCUCUGUCUUCUCCUCUGUAGCCUCCACUUGUGCAGCUGGAAAUCCUUCCUAAUCCUGUCAUGAUUCCACCUUCUUGACUGCGCACUCGAGAAUGUUUGAGAUUUUUUUAUGCAUAAAAUGGAUUGAUAGUUUGUUUAUGUAAGGCAGUCCAAGCUUCCUUGCAUUGUCAUUGGUGGAUUUCUAUGGCUGUUCAGUGACUUUGCAGUGGGGUAUUGACUUUGGCCGCUCAGAUUCUCCAUGGUGGAAUUGAAGAGACCUCCUAAAGAUGUUUAAUGCUGCUGAAACACAAAGAAGGCUUACAGAUUCCCUCCCUCCUCCUUCCCUCCCUAAGCACACAGUGGCAUCAUCUGUAUUGCAUGAGCGUCUUCAGGUUUUAAGAAAUGGUAACCCAUUCUUAUCGGCUCUAUAGGUCUUUUCUAACAGCGGAUAAGGCAAUAGAAAUGGUUGGAGGGGCUGCCCAGGUGGCCUGCCCCGUAAUCCCAUAGUUAUACCAUGUGCUCCAGAGCAACAGGGAUGACAAGGACAGUAGCAUCCGGACUGUCAUGCUCCUCCAUAUGUAGUAGGAAAUUGUGUUCCUAACUCCCACAUUCCACUCUGUGUGAGGCUGGGGAGAUCCAGUCAUCCCAGCCUGCCAAGGACAAGGUAUUUCUUGGUACAAAAGAUUUGGGGGAGCUAAACCUGGGGGCUGACUUGAGAAAAGUUGGUCAUCCUACUGAGUGAACCAGUGACCAUAUCUCUUCGGCUGUUGCAGCAAGGGAAAACUUCUAGUUGCUUGGCCUUUCAGAGCUGUAUGUCUGGUCACUCAUUGGACACAAGACAGAGCAUAUCAGAUGCCUCAUCCUGGCCAAAUCUGUUACUUGUAAAAUGGUAAAUUUAUCUUGCACUGAAGAAAAUCUGAAGUAUGAUGGGUCAGUUAAGACUAUGUCCUUCUGAGGACUGUUGUAUACUGAGGGCACAGCAGAAAUUCAAAAUACCAGGGAUUGCUCUAGGGCAGUUCUAUAUAGGUGACACUUACCUUUUAUUAAAAAUGAAACUGCUCUUGAAGAAGUAAACCCACAGCCACCAGGAUAGUACAGGAUGCAUGGAACCGUGUGUGUGUGUGUGUGUGUGUGUGUGUGCAACACCUGUGCAAACAUGUGCUAUAUAGAAUAAACGAAGAUCAAAAAUUUGCAUCUUUGCUAGACAGAGACAAAGAGCUGAAAUCUUAGGGACAAUGUCUGGAAAGCAAGGAACUUGGCUAGGAGACUUCCUGGAAGUCCUUUGAAGUGUAACUUUUAUUUAGACUAUCAAGGGCAUUUCGGCAGGGGAUAAGUGUGUACUUUCUCUCUAGAGUCCUCCCCGAUAACCCUGAUAACCUGGCUUCAACUCAGAAACCACUAAGUGGGACCUCCCAGCUCCCCUUUCCCUUCUCAGUCACUGGCAUCAGGGAGCUGGUGGAACUUUAAGGAGGUAGGGAAGGGCGGAGUCAUGCCAAUCCAAUUUGGGGUGUUCAUGACAAGUAAGAACAAUUGAAAGGUAAAUUACAGGUUCUUUUGCAACUUGGAAAAGCCAGGUUUUCAGGAUCACCUGGCAUCUGAAGUUGUUGCUGCCUGUCAGGGCUUCCAGCCCCCAUCUUUCGGGUGAAAGCUAAGCAUGAGGGUCCAUGAUACUGCAGCAUGACCUCCCGCUAAUCCUUCUCAUCUUGAGUUGCGAGGCCACAGGGGAUUAAUUGCAUACUAGGGUAGUGAUGAGCAUCCAGGCAUCCAGGGCUUUUGGCAUUAUUCUUUCAUUGGGAAGAAUGCUAGCCCAUAUCCUUCUCUUUGGGCACCAUCUUUGAAAAGAUGACCAUGGGUUUGGGGAGAUGACUCAAUGAAGAAAGUGUGUGAGGACCAGUGUGUGGUGGUGCAUUCAUUAACCCAGUGCUUGGGAGACAGAUUCCUGGGCUUCACUGCUCAGUCAGCCUGGCCUACUUGGCAAGUUCUAGGCCAAUGAGAGACCCUGUCUCAAAAAGCAAAGAGGCUAGCGAGAUGGCUUGGUGUUUAAGAAUGCUUGCUGCUCUUGCAGAGGACCCCAGUACAGUUCCCAAUCCCCACACCAGGCAGCUCACAACUGCCUCUAGCUCGAGUUCCAGGAGAUCACACACCCUUUCGACCUCCACAGGAACCUGCUCUGAGAGAGAGAGAGAGAGAGAGAGAGAGAGAGAGAGAGAGAGAGAGAGAGAGAGAGAGAGAGAGAGAGAGAGAGAGAGAGAGAAUUCAAAAUUAAUCAAGGUGGGUAACUCUUGAGCAGCAACACUUGAGGUUGUCCUUUGGUCUCUGCUCAAACACACAUGUGCGCGCAUGCAUGCUCACUCUCUCUGUCUCUCUGUCUCCCUGUCUCUGUCUCUCCCCCACAACACACACACACAACAUUCACUCAAAGAUGAUCAUGUUUCAGCUGACCCCCUGCUUGUGUACUCCGUCACCCUUUGAAGAAGCUUUUCCAUUGAGAUAGAAGCAGCUGCUUCCCGCUCUCUUCUCCUCCACAGAGAGUCCCAGGAUCACAGCAGCUUAAGUAACCUACCUCAUCAGUUUCUUGGGUCGAUCUAUUCACACAGGAAUCUUCUUUUAAAUUCUGUUCAGAUGCUAUCCAGGCCUGGGGAGGCAGCCUUAUGUUGAGAGGGAGCUGUGAGGGAGGCUGAACAGUAUUCCCUACAACGGUGAGAAGAAGAGACUUUGAAAGAGCAAGUCAGAGGCUGUCACAUGGCCAUGAUUGUCAACUCCUCAACGACAUUUUGAGCUAACAUAUUUUGCCUUCUUCCCUAAUCAGUCUCUUAUUUUUGGAUCCUAAUGGUAUGUGUAUGCUGGUUUAAAAUGAAAAUCACAGGGCAGGGAAACAGGAGACCUGAGAUUUUGAUGUCAGAAAGUCCCUCAUUUUAGCUCCUUGUAUUUAACAUGCAGGGCUGGGCACAGGUGCCUAGGACCAUCUCCUGAUGGCAUCCACAUUGCUGUUGUAUUUGAAGCACAAGCCAUCAGUUUUCUAGGAGUUGAUGUCUUAAAGAUCUACUGUAUUUUCCAUAGUGGAAGAGACCAUUAGCUGAUAUCCAUGGGACAAUGGAAAUCACCCAUCCCCGUGCUGGUCACUGUCAACCUGGUCAUUACCCCGUUAUCAUGAUCAUGACUAUAUUUCAAAUGUCCACACCCCUGGGAUCUUAUGGGGGCAUUUGAACUUGACUCCAAACCGUAGGAACACUCUGCUCUACAAACAGACUUGGGGACCUUUCUAUGGAGAUUCGAGUAUGGAAUUACUAGAGAUGGGAAGACGUUUAUGGGAAUGCUUGGCCUCCUGCUCAGGAGACCACAGGGCAAAGAGUGACUUUGGAAAUGACCACCCACGCUGGAUGAGAGCCUUAAAGAGUAGACUUGUCAUGAGGAGGGGUGCCUAAAGAGAUCCUUGAACUUGUGAUAGGUUGAGGAGCGGUCUGGAUACCUUGGAUCUAGUCCUUUGCUUCAGCUAACUCAAGGUCAUUUGUCAGUCAGUCCACCCUGCCUCUGUGGCUCAGUUGUUUUUUUUCCGUACAUGCAAUGGAGCAGGAAAGUAAAGAAGUUGCCUGUGAAUAAGGUUUGUCGCCCGGCCUGCCCUGGCUGCUGUCUAUUUCCUGAUCGGUAGCUCAUUGUCCCCUCAGCUGCACAAGUUGGAAUUAGGGCUGUCCCAUCCCAGGGAAGUCCAUUACCAAAGAAUACUUCAAAGAUGUUUGCACAUCUUGUCAGUUGCACUGAGCAUGAGUUCGUUGAAGGAAAAGGCAAAUAGACACACAGCUUGUGACAGGAGGGGUAGUGGGGGCUGUUUAACCCUGAGUGACUGCAAGUCAAGGGGAAAAAAAACCCAACUCUGCCUGUCAUUUUGACCAAUAAAUAAAAAUGGGGAGUGCUGAAUGGUUAAAACCAUAGGGGAUUUAUUAGUUUGCCUAGUGAAGGGCAAAUAUUAAGUCUGAAAUUGACCCAUCCUAGGACCUGCCUUUUGGCUUUUGUGACCUGCCAGGCGCUGAUCUCUGCAGACUCCAAAGUUACUAAGUUCUGUCCGGUUUCUUUUUUAAAAUUGUUGUCUGUCUCCCUCUUGCUCUCUCCUUUACCUAUCCUUUCCACCUCCCGCCCUUCCCAGAAACUCAAGCGUGGGUUUUGGAGGAGGUGGAAGACUGUCUGAUCAUAAAGUUUUCUGUUCCAAGGGCUCUGGCUGGCCUGGGGUUGAGCUGCCUGCAAUUCGGUGGCCUUGGGGAGUGAGCUUACUAGGUUGUCUUACAGAUUCUCCGUCUUCUGACCUGGACUUCAGAGUGCUAAUAGGCAAGUGGUAGAAAGACCAGACCAUAGCUAUUUAUAAACCAUAGCUUGCUGUCCUAGGAGACCAUACCUGCUUAUCCAUGACAGGCAGCUUCAGCAGGCAUGUCGAGAGAGAGGUACUAUUUAAUGAGGGGUCCAUGACUAUUAGAACAGAGGGGAUGAGCAGUCUACAUAGCUUCCAAGAACCAGGCAGCAUAUGAGCAUCCCCAGUAGCAAGCAGUCCACUGCAUUUGUGGGGUGCUUGGGUCUCCCUUGGGGUGCAGUACUGCAGGGCACAUAGCUCCAUAUCAGACCCUCAGGGCUCUUAUCUAGAGCUGCUCCAGGAGACUUCCUUCCCUGCCCCAGGCUUUACAGACAACUUUCCAUCUAUCGCUCAUGCAGCCCACAGUGGGGAAUGUUCUGGAAAUGCUUCAUGACGAAAGUCCCUCUCGUAUUCCAGUAAUGAGCUUUUAUUGAAUGGGGUGUGUUAGCUUUCCAUAGCUUUAGCAAAUACCAGAGAUAAUCGGCGUUUAAAGAAGAAGGGUUUAUUUUGGCUCGUUGUUUUGGAGGUUCCGGUCAGAGCCAUUGCUUGGGGACAGACCUGAGUGGAAACCUACGCCGCUCAUUUCAUGGCUGCAUAGAGAAAGAAGGUCCCGAGCCCCACAGUUUCCCCAAGAGCAUUUCCCCAAUGGCAUGAAGACUUCCCAGGAGACCCAGACCUUAACACAGAAGCCUUUGGGGUGUGUGUGUGUGUGUGUGUGUGUGUGUGUGUGUGUGUGUGUGUGUGUGUGUGUGUUGGGGGGAUGUUCCAGAUUCAAACUGCAGCCUACCAUGUGAUUUCAAAUGCUUUGUGCCUCUGUAUGGAAGAGCCCAUGUUUUGAAGGAUAGCUGGUAGGCACCAGGGGAAAAGCUUGUCUCCCGCGCACCCUUUUCUAGGAAGCCUUCCUUGAUUUUUCCUUCCCUCUAAAUCAGUUGGGACAGCCCUCUCAUAUUUUAUGAAGCAUGUUGCAGCAUGUAUGUAUGUAUAUAUGUAUGUUUGUAUGUGUCCCUUCUCCCAUGACAGUAUGUUAGUAUUGAAUUAACUACUUUUAGGUUGAAUUAUUGUGGGUGUCUGCUCUCUGCUUUUCUGUCUCCUCUUACCUCUUCUGUUAGAACAAGAGCCCAAUUAUUUCCUGUUGAUUAGAAGCUGACCCCAAAUUGCCCCCAUGGUGUCCAGCUCUCACAAUGAACACUCUGGUCUGCUGUUCACAGACGCUCUCUGGUCAUCAGAAGACAGGCCCAGAGGAGCCCAGUGCCUUGUCCAAGCCUUAUACAGGUGAGGGCUGGUUUGCAGCAGCAGCGGGGUCACUGACACGGCAAAUGAACAAACAAGAUGUGGAGUUGACUUUCCCUGUUUGCAGUCUGUCACCGCGUGUAGUGCCACAUCUGCCUGCCUUUUGUUUGCCUUCUAAUAAUCAAUAAAGUGUUAUCAGAACAACAGAAAAUAUGUGAGCCUGACUGUUUGGUUUCCAUGAAGAAAGUGGAAUGUGACUGGGUUUUCCUGGUCCAACUGCAAAGCUAGGCUCAUGUAACUUCAAAGUUUAGAUCAAGGAGCCGGGGACUUGGUUCCUUUGGUAGAGUGCUUACCACACAAGCAUGAGGAUUCUCCCAGUGCAGGGGAGGCAGAGACGGGAGUAUCCUCGGAGCUGCCUAGCUAACCAGUGUAUCGGAAUUGGUAAGCUCUAGGUUCGGUGAGAGCCCUGUCUCAAAAAGUAAUGGAACAGAUUGAGGAGGACAUUUUGGCCACAACAUACAGAUAUCCUCACAUACAUGUGUGUGACCACAAAUAUACCAUAUAUACCCAUAAGGUUGAAGCCAACGUUCUAGAGAGUUUGACCUUUCUAGUGCUGAAAAAUCAAGAAAAACAACAACAAAAUCACAUCUAUGUGCUUCCCUGCUCUCAGGGAUUUUCCAUGUAAAGAGGCUGAACAAUGCUUAGACAUUUGAAAAUCAGUCAUGUUUGUCCAAUGAACUUCUAGUCAGUAUUCCCAACGUAUCUGGGCAGGUGUUCCUUACUCUGUACUCUAAUAUAGACUUCCCCAGGAUAAUGCAGCCAGAGACAUUGGAUACUGUCCAGUGGACCAUUUUCAGGGGUGUUGGAUGCAGACUCCAGUGCAUGCCAUCUGUGGUCAAAACAGGGAGCAGGGGUACCACUUAAGGGUCAGCAGCCCCAGAAAGGAAGUGUCAGUGCUGCUUGCUGUCACAUCUCUCCCUAGGGGAGGUCGCCACAACAGAGGGGGAGAAGAAAUGAGUGUGACAGAAGAUUUUUUUUCAUUUCUUUGUGGCAAAAGACUCUCCAAAGUUCAUCCCUUCUGAAUUCUUACAAAUAUGGCAAUAGUCUGGACAAAGGGGGCAUCAUCUGUAAACCAGAGUCACCAGAGGUGGCCUCAGAGAAGGAAGAAAUGUUAGGAAAUUCAGAAAGAAAAUUGGGCAGUUCAGAAAGAAACGAAGUUUAGAACUUUAGUCUUAGAGCUCUGGGUAAAAUGUCUAUGUCUCACUUGAAUCUCUCUCUCUCUCUCUCUCUCUCUCUCUCUCUCUCUCUCGUGUGUGUGCUCACCUAUGUGUGUUCAUAUAGAGGUCAGGGGUUGACUCUGGGAGGUCUUCCUCAAUAAUAGCUUUUCUGCAUCAUCACCACCUUGAGAUAGGGUCUCUCAUCAAACCUUACCAUUUUGGCUAGACCAGUUGACCAUCAAACUCUGGAGAUGCAUCUGUCCCUGUCCUCCAGUGCUAAGAUUUUAGGCCUUUAGGUGGGUUCUAGGGAAUCCAAACUAAGGUCUUCAUGAUUUGUCAGCAAACACUUUACCCAUUGAGCCCUUCCCCAGUCUUCUGUGUUAAUUCCUUGAGGAGAAUCCAUUGAGAACUAUUGUUCUUAUAGGUAAGGAAACUAAGACCAAGAGCCAGGGAUUUGUCAGAGCACACCACAUUAGGCACCCAUCUCUGAGCCCAGAGAGGAUUCCUCUAUAUUAUAGCCACCAUGGUAUUAGUCUUUGCUAGCUGCUAUAACAAAACACCAUCCAAUCUCAGUGUCUACCUGAGGUUUUCUUGUCUACACUCUGGUUGAAUGCUGAGUUGGCUUCAGUGGAUGCAGAGAAAGCUCUUUGUAGCAAUGUUGGGACCCAAGGAGCUCUUUUUUGUUUUUGUUUUUGUUUUUGAAGAUAGGGUUUCUUUGUGACUUUGGAGGCUACCCUAGAACUCACUCUUGUAGACCAGGCUGGUCUCGAACACACAGAGAUUCACCUGCCUCUGCCUCUGCCUCCCGAGUGCUGGGAUUAAAGACUUGUGCCACCACUGCCCGGCGACCCAAGGAGUUCUAUAUAAUAAAAAACCAGAGUCAGAUAUAGAGGGAAACGCUGAGAGAUCAGAGAGGAGGAGCAAGCCACAGCACACCUUGCCUCCUAAGCAUCUCAGCAGAGAAGAGAGUGAUUUCCUGUUUCUCCCUGCUUAUAUCCUGUUUCUUCCCAGCUAUAUCACUUUCUGUCUAUCUGUACAGACCUCCAGACCUCUAUGGCUAGCUAGUGGCAAACUCCGUUCUCUGACCACGAAGCAGGCUUUAUUUGUGCAAGAAAGAUAUAACCACACAGGACACUAUUACUCUGAUUCCCCUGCUUUUGCCAGUGGACUAUGUAAGAAUACCCUAGUGUAUCACUUCUACAGCCUGGAAGGACCACCUUUCUCUUCUGUCCACAUUGCAUUGGCAGGAAUUGGUCAGUAUGUUCCACUUGAAUGCAGGAGAUCUGAGAAAUUCCCAGCCCUGUCACACAAAUGCUGGUGAACACCAGUGGUUUCUGCCACACACACCAAAUGUCCACUGCGACAGUGUCCUUUGUUGCUUUCAUCGUGGUGACCUUUCAGCUGCAUAAAUUCUGGCCUCUUGAAUGUGCUGUUGUCACAGCUGGUAUAUGUAGGUUCUAAGGUGUAAGGAAAGCAAGACAGAGAUGAAGCAAAGCAGAGCCCUGAGUUUCACUCACCUUCAGCGGUGACCUCGUGUGAUUCAUUCACUCUUUCUGUGCCUUGAUUCCGUGUGUGUGUGUGUGUGUGUGUGUGUGUGUGUGUGUGCACAUGUUGCAUGUAUAUAAGCAGGCACUGAUGCACAUGUGUGUAUGUGUGUGGAAGCCAGAGGGCAAACUCAGGUGUUAUUCAUAGGAGCUGUCCACCUUUUCUUAUUUUUUUUAAGCAGGGUCUCUCGCUGACCAACCGCCAACUGGCCUGUCUGACUCCGCCUCCUCAAUCCUGGGAUUACAAAUGUGUACAUCUGUGCAUGGCUUUGUACAUGGGCACUGGGGCUGGAACUCCGGUCUCCAUGCUUGCCUAACCUCACCAAUUCAAUCUACCAGCUGAGUCAUCUCCCUAGCUCCAGUUUCCUCCUCUGCUCUGCUUCUAAGUGGUUCUGAAGUCUGACUGAGUGUUGGCACUUGGAACAGAACUUGAAGCAACAGCACUCCUUCCGUAUGUCAUCUUGGCUUUAUUUAUUCAUUCAGGGCAAGUGUUCUUGAUAUCCAUUGCUUGGGAACCAAGCAGGAUGAUUAAUCUUAAUUGUCAGCGUCACCAGAGUGACACGCAGCUAGAAGAUAGUUCAUAAGGCACACCUCGGAGUGUGUCUGCCAUGGCUUGUGCAAGGGAGAGUAGAUCAUGGGCACUCUAACCUAGUCAAUGGUUUGAUCCUUGCCGGCUUUAUAGUUGGUGACAUCCCUAAGGAGUGGUGGAAGGUAGGAGGUGGCAUCUGGUUUAAGGACACAGGUGCCUGGCUCAUGUUUCCCUGAUCACUUCCUGAAUCUCUCUCUCCACUGCCCGUCUUCUAUGGCGGGACACCUCUGCGUUGUGUCCCACCACCAUGACACUUUGUGCCAGUAUGCCACGGCCCAAGCAAACAUGGACUGAACUCUCUGAAACCAUGAGCCCAAAUAGAUGAGACUUUAGUUUUAGAUUGUAUUGCCAUUAUUUGGUCACAACACAAGUCUGACUAACAUAAGAAGGGUUUGUAGAGCCACUGCCUGAUGACUCAGUGAGUGAAGGCAUUCACUGCCAGUACCGAGUUCAAUCCCUGGAGCCGUGCAACGGAGCUAGAGAACUGACUCCUGCAAACUGACUCACUUGCUUUCGCAUUAUGUUAUGGAAUGCAUGCAUGUGUACAUUCACACAAUAGGUCAAUAAAUAAAUGUUAAAACGUUUAAA